CUAAUUUUUGUUGUUUCAGUGGUUGCAGGACAUUUUGCAUUUUUUUUUUAAUUAUUGUCUAUGAUUUUGAUUUUGAUUUUGAUAUAUUACUAUUGUUAAGGGCUUUUUGCAUCUUUUAUUUUAGUUGUUAUUGCCGAUAGUUAUAUUUACUUUUUUUCUUGGUAUCAACUCAAAACAUUCCCUUGUUUGUGUUGUAUAGUCGAGGGUAUUUUUAAUUAUGUCGUUGCCAAAUCAAUAAUGUUAUUGGUGACAUUUUUUUCCUACAGAAGCAAAAUAUCGAAGAAAUGAGUUGUAACCAAUAAACAAAUCAAUGAAAAUGGCUACAGGUUUGCACCUAAAUAAAGAUUUGUAUUUUGUUUUAAAUUUUAUUUUGGGCCAAAUUAUAGGAAUAUAAUUUGUAGAUUAUACAUUAUUUGUAUAGUCAACUAGCUUAAUGAGAAAGUUUGAUUUUUCAGCUAACGUUAAUGUUUAAUUGUGAUGUCUCAAGGCCUUUUGUUAAGAUGAUGUUAUAAAAGCUUUGCUUAUGGAAUUUUUCAGAUGCAGUGUAUUUGUGGACUCUAUCUCUCCAUAAAAAUGAGAUUCAUUCCGAAUAAAUAUCUUUCAACGAGCAAGGUUGAUCUACUAUGUAUCUUUCUACUUCUCAGAAAUAUUUGACGAAAGUUAGUGUUUCAGAAGCAAAAAAAUCUGUGGACUAUGGUAUGUGGAAAUUUAUAUGCGUAUUGACUACUCGAUUUCUUCUACUGUAAGAAAUUUUCAAAUCAUGGUCUUAAUUAUGGCAUUGAUAUGCAACUUUUGUUGUAGGGGGCUAAAAUAUUUCACAAAUCAUCGACAUCAUUUUGACAAGCUUGUGGAAGCUUCCUUUUCUUCAUUUGCCAAAGAUGGUGAAAGUGAUAGUUCAUGAUAAGAUGUAAAGCAGUGGGUUUUUUGUUUUAUUUCUUCCUUUCUUUUUCACUCGGCAUU
rnacentral:lncRNA from 1 species